rnacentral:misc_RNA from 1 species
AAAGUCGUGACAAGGUCUCCGUUGGUGAACCAGCGGAGGGAUCAUUAAAGAGUUGCAAAACUCCCAAACCAUUGUGAACUUACCUUCAACGUUGCUUCGGCGGGUUGGCUCCGGGUCUCCCGGGGUCCCCCGGCCCUCACGGGCGCCCGCCGGAGGUAUCUAACUCUUGAAAUUGUAUGGCCUCUCUGAGUGAUUUAUAAAUAAGUCAAAACUUUCAACAACGGAUCUCUUGGUUCUG